GGAAUUGGGAUUGGAUGUGUAGGAAAGACAUCAUAAAACUUGAUUAAAAGCCUAAGGUGUGAAGUUAGGCCUAAUCAGGCGUUAAUUCGGAAAGACCAAAACACAUCGUCCUGGACUGUGACAGGUGCCUUUUGUAAGUUAAAUGGAAUGAGAUCUUCUUCAGUGCACCUGAUGUCUUGGGAAGGGUGAGUUGAGGCAUGGUGGAUGUGAAACGAGCUCAUCGUAAAUGUUCGCAUUUGUUUUUAUGUGUUCAGUUUGGUGCUAUCUAGAUAGGAAAUCUGAAGGCUGAGAAAAUGUCUGCUGUAGACAUGGCAGUGAUUCUUUGAUACGGAAUAGUUGGAGGGGGCCUGAAUGAUGGCGUGACUUAUUUUUAGGCAAUAUAGGGUCUCCCUUGCAAACGGAGGGGUUGGGACGAAUAGAGAUGUUAGGAGCCAGGUCAGCCUGGAGUUUUCUAUGGUUGCCUGAAGCUUGGAAAAAAGUUGGAAGAAGAAAUUACUCCGUAAGAAAUCACGUCAACCUGCUUCUCCAGUGAUGCCCAAGUGGCCACGUCAGGUGUGAAUCAUGGCAGUGCAGUGAAGGACGGUGAUUUACCGCUUUUGAGGGCAUGCAUGUAUAUGAUUAAGGGAUGGAGGUGAAGGACUCCAAGAUUUACUUCCUUCCCUUUCCAGCAGAGUUACCUGAGAGGAGUGAGUAAUGGGAUCAUUGGUAACACCACCGGCCCCUUUUCAAGAGACCAGUAAUCAAAACAGGAACACCAAACUGAGAAGAUUUCAGCUGGGAGAAUACAACUUUUGAUACUUUCUGGAUCUACCUCUUAGCACACAGGAGAGUCUUCAGAGUUUUCCUGUUUUAUUUUUUCAUGGAGAUUUUCGUUAAAAAGAUACUUCGGGUUUGACGUGACUAUCUUGGUGGUGGCAGUAGACUUCUCAUAUUAGAGAUAUGAUAAAAUGGUGAAAAGUUCCAAGCUCGUCCUCCUCUCCCAUCUAUGCCAGGUAAAAUCUGCUGGUGGAGUCACUCCAUUAUUCUUACCCAUGGAGAGGUAGAUCUUGAUUUGAAAGUUUCUGAGAAAAUCUUCAGCUCAGACUUGAGGUCAACUUUACCAACUGAAGGUAAAACCUAGUUUUAUUCAUUUAAGUAUGAAUUACUUAUUACCAAAGCAUAGAAAAUAAAGAUCAUCAACAUGUCUUAAUAUCUAGAACAUAUCAAGUCGAAUUCUGGUUUCUUGAUAUGGAAAAAAAAUUAUGAAAUGCUUUCUAUUAGAAACAGAGAAAAAUGAGAUACAAUGAAUCAGAAAGCUUGUUUUCCCUCACGGCGAUGAAAAGCGCCGUAAGAAGCAUCUUCACGGCCGGGCACGGUGGCUCACGCCUGUAAUCCCAGCACUUUGGGAGGCCGAGGCGGGUGAAUCACGAGGUCAAGAGAUCGAGACCAUCCUGGUCAACAUGGUGAAACCCCGUCUGGCCUAAAAAUACAAAAAAUUAGCUGGGCACGGUGGCGCGUGCCUGUAAUCCCAGCUACUCGGGAGGCUGAGGCAGGAGAAUUGCCUGAACCCA
ensembl:lncRNA